rnacentral:SRP_RNA from 1 species
CUGUGAUAGGCGGGGAGCCAGCGGUGCCCUGUAUCUGCAACCCGCUAUAGCAGAGCCGAACGCUUCUUGAGGCUAGUAUAUGGGAAGCAGGAGUCCGUAAGGAACGUUGAUGUCAAGGUCUUAUGCAAUAUAGCGCCGUGAACCGCGUCAGGAUGGGAACAUAGCAGCGCUAAGCGGAACGCCGUGUGUGCCAUAAGGAAGCUUUGAAGGAGUCGCCUGCGGGAAUACCGUUCCGAUGUAUUUUGUCGAAAAGUUGAACUCACAG